rnacentral:rRNA from 1 species
CCUGUGAGGGUUGCUGGAGGUAUCAGAAGUGCGAAUGCUGACAUAAGUAACGAUAAAGCGGGUGAAAAGCCCGCUCGCCGGAAGACCAAGGGUUCCUGUCCAACGUUAAUCGGGGCAGGGUGAGUCGACCCCUAAGGCGAGGCCGAAAGGCGUAGUCGAUGGGAAACAGGUUAAUAUUCCUGUACUUGGUGUUACUGCGAAGGGGGGACGGAGAAGGCUAUGUUAGCCGGGCGACGGUUGUCCCGGUUUAAGCAUGUAGGCUGGUUAUCCAGGCAAAUCCGGAUAAUCAAGGCUGAGGUGUGAUGACGAGGCACUACGGUGCUGAAGUAACAAAUGCCCUGCUUCCAGGAAAAGCCUCUAAGCAUCAGGUAACAUCAAAUCGUACCCCAAACCGACACAGGUGGUCAGGUAGAGAAUACCAAGGCGCUUGAGAGAACUCGGGUGAAGGAACUAGGCAAAAUGGUGCCGUAACUUCGGGAGAAGGCACGCUGGUGUGUAGGUGAAG